AUUGAACGCUGGCGGCAUGCUCUACACAUGCAAGUCGAACGGUAACAGGCCGCAAGGUGCUGACGAGUGGCGAACGGGUGAGUAAUGCAUCGGAACGUGCCCAGUCGUGGGGGAUAACUACUCGAAAGAGUAGCUAAUACCGCAUACGAUCUAUGGAUGAAAGCGGGGGACCGUAAGGCCUCGCGCGAUUGGAGCGGCCGAUGUCAGAUUGGGUAGUUGGUGGGGUAAAGGCUCACCAAGCCAACGAUCUGUAGCUGGUCUGAGAGGACGACCAGCCACAAUGGGACUGAGAAACGGCCCAGACUCCUACGGGAGGCAGCAGUGGGGAAUUUUGGACCAUGGGCGCAAGCCUGAUCCAGCAAUGCCGCGUGCAGGAAGAAGGCCUUCGGGUUUUAAACUGCUUUUGUACGGAACGAAACGGCUCUGGUUAAUACCCGGGGCUAAUGACGGUACCGUAAGAAUAAGCACCGGCUAACUACGUG
rnacentral:rRNA from 1 species